rnacentral:rRNA from 3 species
AUAGGGGAGCCGAAGGGAAACCGAGUCUUAACUGGGCGUUAAGUUGCAGGGUAUAGACCCGAAACCCGGUGAUCUAGCCAUGGGCAGGUUGAAGGUUGGGUAACACUAACUGGAGGACCGAACCGACUAAUGUUGAAAAAUUAGCGGAUGACUUGUGGCUGGGGGUGAAAGGCCAAUCAAACCGGGAGAUAGCUGGUUCUCCCCGAAAGCUAUUUAGGUAGCGCCUCGUGAACUCAUCUUCGGGGGUAGAGCACUGUUUCGGCUAGGGGGUCAUCCCGACUUACCAACCCGAUGCAAACUGCGAAUACCGAAGAAUGUUAUCACGGGAGACACACGGCGGGUGCUAACGUCCGUCGUGAAGAGGGAAACAACCCAGACCGCCAGCUAAGGUCCCAAAGUCACAGUUAAGUGGGAAACGAUGUGGGAAGGCUCAGACAGCCAGGAUGUUGGCUUAGAAGCAGCCAUCAUUUAAAGAAAGCGUAAUAGCUCACUGGUCGAGUCGGCCUGCGCGGAAGAUGUAACGGGGCUAAACUGUGCACCGAAGCUGCGGCAGCGACGCUUAUGCGUUGUUGGGUAGGGGAGCGUUCUGUAAGCCUGCGAAGGUGUCCUGUGAGGGAUGCUGGAGGUAUCAGAAGUGCGAAUGCUGACAUAAGUAACGAUAA